GACGAACGCUGGCGGCGUGCUUAACACAUGCAAGUCGAACGGAAAGGCCCUGCUUUUGUGGGGUGCUCGAGUGGCGAACGGGUGAGUAACACGUGAGUAACCUGCCCUUGACUUUGGGAUAACUUCAGGAAACUGGGGCUAAUACCGGAUAGGAGCUCCUGCUGCAUGGUGGGGGUUGGAAAGUUUCGGCGGUUGGGGAUGGACUCGCGGCUUAUCAGCUUGUUGGUGGGGUAGUGGCUUACCAAGGCUUUGACGGGUAGCCGGCCUGAGAGGGUGACCGGCCACAUUGGGACUAAGAUACGGCGCAGACGCGUACGGGAGGCAGCAGUGGGGAAUAUUGCACAAUGGGCGGAAGCCUGAUGCAGCAACGCCGCGUGCGGGAUGACGGCCUUCGGGUUGUAAACCGCUUUCGCCUGUGACGAAGCGUGAGUGACGGUAAUGGGUAAAGAAGCACCGGCUAACUACGUG
rnacentral:rRNA from 1 species